rnacentral:rRNA from 1 species
UACGUAGGGACCAAGCGUUGUCCGGAAUCAUUGGGCGUAAAGCGCGCGUAGGCGGCCCGGUAAGUCCGUUGUAAAAGUCAAAGGCUCAACCUUUGAAUGCCGAUGGAUACUGCCGGGCUAGAGUCCGGAAGAGGCGAGUAGAAUUCCUGGUGUAGCGGUGGAAUGCGCAGAUAUCAGGAGGAACACCGGUGGCGAAGGCGGGUCUCUGGGCCGUAACUGACGCUGAGGAGCGAAAGCAUGGGGAGCGAACAGG